CUUGAACGCUGGCGGCAGGCCUAACACAUGCAAGUCGAACGAGUGGCGGACGGGUGAGUAAUGUCGGGGAAACUGCCCGAUGGAGGGGGAUAACUACUGGAAACGGUAGAUAAUACCGCAUACCAUCGGAUGUGCCCAGAUGGGAUUAGCUAGUAGGUGGUGUAAUGGCUCACCUAGGCGACGAGCCCGAGCUGGUCUGAGAGGAUGACCAGCCACACUGGAACUGAGACACGGUCCAGACUCCUACGGUAGGCAGCAUGGGGGAAUAUUGCACAAGGGGCGCAAGCCUGAUGCAGCCAUGCCGCGUGUAUGAAGAAGGCCUUCGGGUUGUAAAGUACUUUCAGCGAGGAGGCGUUACUCGCAGAAGAAGCACCGGCUAACUCCGUGCCAGCAGCCGCGGUAAUUC
rnacentral:rRNA from 1 species